rnacentral:rRNA from 1 species
AGAGUUUGAUCCUGGCUCAGAACGAACGCUGGCGGCGCGCUUAACACAUGCAAGUCGAACGAGAAACUCGCCUUCGGGCGGGCAGUAAAGUGGCGGACGGGUGAGUAACACGUGGGUAACCUGCCCUUGAGUCUGGAAUAACCCGCCGAAAGGCGGGCUAAUACCGGAUGCCGUUUUUGGUUCUUCGGGACCGGAAACGAAAGGUGGCCUCUGCUUGCAUGCUAUCGCUCUAGGAGGGGCCCGCGGCCCAUUAGCUAGUUGGUGAGGUAACGGCUCACCAAGGCGACGAUGGGUAGCCAGCUUGAGAGGGCGAUUGGCCACACUGGAACUGAGAUACGGUCCAGACUCCUACGGGAGGCAGCAGUGAGGAAUUUUGCGCAAUGGGCGAAAGCCUGACGCAGCAACGCCGCGUGGAUGAUGAAGGUCUUCGGGUCGUAAAAUCCUGUCAGGUGGGAAGAAAUCAGAGAGACGAAUACUCUCUCUGUCUGACUGUACCACCAGAGAAGCCCCGCUAACU